AGCAGCCGCGGUAAUUCCAGCUCCAAUAGCGUAUAUUAAAGUUGUUGCAGUUAAAAAGCUCGUAGUUGAAUUUCGGGAUCAGAUUGUUGGUCGUGCCUCGGUACGCACUGGUAUUAUUGGUUCCUACCUUCUGAAGAACCGCGAUGUCAUUAAUUUGGUGUCGUGGGGAAUCAGGACUGUUACUUUGAAAAAAUUAGAGUGUUUAAAGCAGGCUUACGCUUGAAUACAUUAGCAUGGAAUAAUGAAAUAGGACGUUUGAUUCUAUUUUGUUGGUUUCUAGGAUUGACGUAAUGAUUAAUAGGGAUAGUUGGGGGCAUUAGUAUUCAAUUGUCAGAGGUGAAAUUCUUGGAUUUAUUGAAGACUAACUACUGCGAAAGCAUUUGCCAAGGAUGUUUUCAUUAAUCAAGAACGAAAGUUAGGGGAUCGAAGACGAUCAGAUACCGUCGUAGUCUUAACCAUAAACUAUGCCGACUAGGGAUCGGAUGAUGUUAAUUUUUAAUGACUCAUUCGGCGCCUUACG
rnacentral:rRNA from 1 species